UACGAAGGGGGCUAGCGUUGCUCGGAAUCACGGGGCGGAAAGCGCACGUAGGCGGAUUGCUAAGUCAGGGGUGAAAUCCUGGAGCUCAACUCCAGAACUGCCUUUGAUACUGGCGAUCUCGAGUUCGGGAGAGGUGAGUGGAACUGCGAGUGUAGAGGUGAAAUUCGUAGAUAUUCGCAAGAACACCGGUGGCGAAGGCGGCAUCCUGGACCGACACUGACGCUGAGGAGCGAAAGCCAGGGGAGCAGACGGG
rnacentral:rRNA from 1 species